GCAACAAGGGCAACUUCACCCUUCUCACAUGCAAUCCUUGCAACAAGCACCAUCACAAAACCCUCAACCGCAGUCUCAUGAAAAUCAAAUGAACCCCCAGUUGCAACAAAUGAACAUGCAAAAUUCAGUAUCAUCCUUGCAUCAGAACAAUAUGUCAAAUAUGCAGCAAUCGAUGAUGAAUUCUCUCCAGCCAGGUUCUAAUAUCGAUUCUGGACAAGGAAAUGCUAUGGCCUCAUCACAGGGGGCUACUAUGGGAUCUAUACAACAAAACUCUUCAAGCGC
rnacentral:lncRNA from 1 species